GGGGGAUUGGUGUAGUGGUAGCAUGUUGGAUUCCAGACCCAUUGGUCGUCGGUUCAAAUCCGGCAUCCCUCA
rnacentral:tRNA from 2 species